UACGGGGGGGGUAAGCGUUGUUCGGAAUUACUGGGCGUAAAGGGCUCGUAGGCGGCCAACUAAGUCAUACGUGAAAUCCCUCAGCUUAACCUGGGAACUGCGUCUGAUACUGGAUGGCUUGAAUUCGGGAGAGGGAUGCAGAAUUCCAGGUGUAGCGGUGAAAUGCGUAGAUAUCUGGAGGAAUACCGGUGGCGAAGGCGGCAUCCUGGACCGAGAUUGACACUGAUGAGCGAAAGCUAGGGGAGCAAACGGG
rnacentral:rRNA from 1 species